rnacentral:rRNA from 1 species
GACGAACGCUGGCGGCGUGCCUAAUACAUGCAAGUUGAGCGAUGAAGAUUGGUGCUUGCACCAAUUUGAAGAGCAGCGAACGGGUGAGUAACGCGUGGGGAAUCUGCCUUUGAGCGGGGGACAACAUUUGGAAACGAAUGCUAAUACCGCAUAACAACUUUAAACAUAAGUUUUAAGUUUGAAAGAUGCAAUUGCAUCACUCAAAGAUGAUCCCGCGUUGUAUUAGCUAGUUGGUGAGGUAAAGGCUCACCAAGGCGAUGAUACAUAGCCGACCUGAGAGGGGGAUCGGCCACAUUGGGACUGAGACACGGCCCAAACUCCUACGGGAGGCAGCAGUAGGGAAUUUUCGGCAAUGGACGAAAGUCUGACCGAGCAACGCCGCGUGAGUGAAGAAGGUUUUCGGAUCGUAAAACUCUGUUGGUAGAGAAGAACGUUGGUGAGAGUGGAAAGCUCAUCAAGUGACGGUAACUACCCAGAAAGGGACGGCUAACUACGU